AACGAACGCUGGCGGCAUGCCUAACACAUGCAAGUCGAACGAACCCUUCGGGGUUAGUGGCGCACGGGUGCGUAACGCGUGGGAAUCUGCCCUUGGCUUCGGAAUAACAGUUAGAAAUGACUGCUAAGACCGGAUGAUGUCGCAAGACCAAAGAUUUAUCGGCCAGGGAUGCGCCCGCGGAGGAUUAGGGAGUUGGGGGGGUAAAGGCCUACCAAGCCGACGAUCCUUAGCUGGUCUGAGAGGAUGAUCAGCCAGACUGGGACGGAGACACGGCCCAGACUGCUACGGGAGGCAGCAGUGGGGAAUAUUGGACAAUGGGGGCAACCCUGAUCCAGCAAUGCCGCGUGAGUGAUGAAGGCCUUAGGGUUGUAAAGCUCUUUUACCCGGGAUGAUAAUGACAGUACCGGGAGAAUAAGCUCCGGCUAACUCCGUGCCAGCAGCCGCCGCAGUAA
rnacentral:rRNA from 1 species